GGUUGUGGCUCAGUGGUAGUACACUUGCUUAGCAUGCAUGAGAACUGGGUUUGAUUCUCAGCACCA
rnacentral:tRNA from 1 species